AGAGUUUGAUCCUGGCUCAGGAUGAACGCUGGCGGCGUGUCUAAGGCAUGCAAGUCGAAUGGGUUUAGACCCAUGGCAAACGGGAGAGUAACACAUUGGUAACAUACCCUGAGGACGAGAAUAACCUUGCGAAAGCGGGGAUAAUACUCGAUGGUAGUGGGGGGACAAAAGUCAUUCCCACUUAAAGCUCCGACGCCUCAGGAGUGGCCUAUGGUCUAUCAGCUUGUUGGUGAGGUAAAAGCUCACCAAGGCUAUGACGGAUAGCGGGUGUGAGAGCAUGACCCGUCUCACUGGGACUGAGACACUGCCCAGACUCCUACGGGAGGCUGCAGUCAAGAAUCUUCCUCAAUGGCCGAAAGGCUGAAGGAGCGACGCCGCGUGCAUGAUGAAGCCCUUUGGGGUGUAAAAUGCUUUUCUGAAGGACGAAUCUAUGACGGUACUUCAGGAAUAAGGGGCUGCUAAACUCGUGCCAGCAGCAGCGGUAAUACGAGUGCCCCAAGCGUUAUCCGGAUUUAUUGGGCGUAAAGGGUCCGUAGGCGGUUUGUCACAUCUCCUGUUAAAUCUCGAGGCUCAACCUCGAGGCUGCGGGAGAGAUGGAUAAACUAGAGGUCGGAAGAGGCAAGUGGAAUUGCUGGUGUAGGGGUUAAAUCCGUUAAUAUCAGCAGGAACACCAAAUGCGAAGGCAACUUGCUAGAACGAAUCUGACGCUAAGGGACGGAAGCGUGGGUAGCGAAUGGGAUUAGAUACCCCAGUAGUCCACGCCGUAAACGAUGGAUGCUAAGCAUCGGCAGUAUCGACCCUGCCGGUGUUGUUAACUUAAGGUAACCCGUUAAGCAUCCCGCCUGGGGAGUACGAGCGCAAGCUUAAAACUCAAAGGAAUAGACGGGGACCCGCACAAGCGGUGGAGCAUGUGGUUUAAUUCGACGAUAAGCGAAGAACCUCACCAAGGUUUGACAUAUAGCUGCAAGCCCUAGAAAUAGGGUCGCCUUCGAGGGUGCUAUACAGAUGCUGCAUGGUUGCCGUCAGCUCGUGUCGUGAGAUGUACCGUUAAGUCGGGAAACGAGCGCAACCCCUAUCCUAUGUUUUACAUGUCAUGGGAGACUGCCUGCUUUAAGUGGGAGGAAGGUGGGGAUGACGUCAAAUCAGCAUGGUUCUUACACCUUGGGCAACACACGUGCUACAAUGGGGAAUACAAAGGGACGCCAAGCCGCGAGGUGGAGCAAAUCCCUUAAAGUUCUUCUCAGUUCGGAUUGGAGUCUGCAACUCGACUCUAUGAAGUUGGAAUCGCUAGUAAUCGUGGAUCAGAACGUCACGGUGAAUACGUUAUCGGGUCUUGUACUCACCGCCCGUCACGUCAAGGGAGUCGGUAGUGCCCGAAGGCUCACUUUAUUGUGGGACGAAGGUAAGACUGGCGACAGGGACGAAGUCGUAACAAGGCA
rnacentral:rRNA from 1 species